AUUGAACGCUGGCGGCAGGCCUAACACAUGCAAGUCGAGCGGUAGCACAGAGAGCUUGCUCUCGGGUGACGAGCGGCGGACGGGUGAGUAAUGUCUGGGAAACUGCCUGAUGGAGGGGGAUAACUACUGGAAACGGUAGCUAAUACCGCAUAAUGUCGCAAGACCAAAGGAGGGGGACCUUCGGGCCUCUUGCCAUCAGAUGUGCCCAGAUGGGAUUAG
rnacentral:rRNA from 1 species